rnacentral:rRNA from 1 species
AAGGCAUCUUUUAAUGAAUUAAAGCUUCGGUGGUAUAGGAUUGGCUCGCGUGACAUUAGCAAGUUGGUGAGGUAACGGCUCACCAAUGCUACGAUGUCUAGGGGUUCUGAGAGGAAGGUCCCCCGCACUGGUACUGAGACACGGACCAGACUCCUACGGGAGGCAGCAGUGAGGAAUAUUGGUCAAUGGACGGAAGUCUGAACCAGCCACUUCGCGUGCAGGAUGACUGCCCUAUGGGUUGUAAACUGCUUUUAUAUAAGAGGAACAGUAUUUAUGUAUAGAUAUUUGCCAGUAUUAUAUGAAUAAGGAUCGGCUAACUCCGUGCCAGCAGCCGCGGUAAUACGGAGGAUCCGAGCGUUAUCCGGAUUUAUUGGGUUUAAAGGGUGAGUAGGCGGUAGUAUAAGUCAGCGGUGAAAACUUGCAGCUCAACUGUAAGCUUGCCGUUGAAACUGUAUUACUUGAGUUAAGUUGAGGUAUGCGGAAUGUGGUGUGUAGCGGUGAAAUGCAUAGAUAUACCCCAGAACGUUGAUUGCGAAGGCAGCCAUACUAAGUUUAUACUGACGGUGAUGCACGAAAGCGUGGGGAUCAAACAGGAUUAGAUACCCUGGUAGUCCACGCCGUAAACUAUGAUUACUUCGUUGUUUGCGAUAUACUGUAAGCGACUGCGCGAAAGCAUUAAGUAAUCCACCUGGGGAGUACGUUGGCAACAAUGAAACUCAAAGGAAUUGACGGGGGCCCGCACAAGCGGAGGAACAUGUGGUUUAAUUCGAUGAUACGCGAGGAACCUUACCUGGGCUUAAAUGGGAAGUGACAGUUUUGGAAACAAAAUUUUCUUCGGACACUUUUCAAGGUGCUGCAUGGUUGUCGUCAGCUCGUGCCGUGAGGUGUCGGGUUAAGUCCCAUAACGAGCGCAACCCUUGUCGAUAGUUGCCAGCAUGUAAUGAUGGGGACUCUAUCGAGACUGCCGGUGUAAACCGUGAGGAAGGUGGGGAUGACGUCAAAUCAGCACGGCCCUUACGUCCAGGGCUACACACGUGUUACAAUGGUCGGUACAAUGGGCAGCUACUCAGCGAUGAGAUGCUAAUCUUCAAAACCGAUCUCAGUUCGGAUCGGAGUCUGCAACUCGACUCCGUGAAGCUGGAUUCGCUAGUAAUCGCAUAUCAGCCAUGAUGCGGUGAAUACGUUCCCGGGCCUUGUACACACCGCCCGUCAAG